GAUGAACGCUGGCGGCGUGCCUAAUACAUGCAAGUCGAGCGAACAGACGAGGAGCUUGCUCCUCUGACGUUAGCGGCGGACGGGUGAGUAACACGUGGAUAACCUACCUAUAAGACUGGGAUAACUUCGGGAAACCGGAGCUAAUACCGGAUAAUAUAUUGAACCGCAUGGUUCAAUAGUGAAAGACGGUUUUGCUGUCACUUAUAGAUGGAUCCGCGCCGCAUUAGCUAGUUGGUAAGGUAACGGCUUACCAAGGCGACGAUGCGUAGCCGACCUGAGAGGGUGAUCGGCCACACUGGAACUGAGACACGGUCCAGACUCCUACGGGAGGCAGCAGUAGGGGAUCUUCCGCAAUGGGCGAAAGCCUGACGGAGCAACGCCGCGUGAGUGAUGAAGGUCUUCGGAUCGUAAAACUCUGUUAUUAGGGAAGAACAAAUGUGUAAGUAACUAUGCACGUCUUGACGGUACCUAAUCAGAAAGCCACGGCUAACUACGU
rnacentral:rRNA from 1 species